rnacentral:lncRNA from 1 species
CUUGUAACUUAGGAAUUAAAACUUCUAAUUCCUAUCACCACAAAAACACCAAUCUCACCUAAGAUAAGUGUUCUCAAAUCUUUGAGUUCUCCAACUUGAAUACAAAUACUUCUAUCUCAGUUUAUAGAUCACUGAGUAUCAGAACUAUGACUCGUUACAAUUAAUAGAACCAACCUAUUACAACUGAUCUACUACUUAAGACGUAUAGAUUAGGCUCUUCUUCUUCAACUGGACGAACUUGAUUGCUUGAUUGUUGAAUAUCUCUUUUUAUUGAGCAGACUGCUUUGAUCUUUUUCCUUGUAUUUAUAGCAACCCUAAUUGAGACCUUUAGUUGAUCUCCUUUCCUUACUUGAAUUGUAUUGCCUUUUCUGUCUUUUAAUUUCUGCCGCCUUUCCUUGUUUCCUAGUUUGAAUUGGACUGCCUUGAUGGCCUUCCUAUCUUGAGUUGGUUUGCCUUCACUCUUUUGGAUUUGAACUUGUUUCUUC